rnacentral:ncRNA from 1 species
AUAAAGUUUGAUUCUUGCUUUGAGUUUAAUUUAUUCAUUAUUUUACAUGCAAGAUUUUUCAUGAAUAUAUGUAUAUAUAUAUUAAAUUCUAAAUGGUAUUAUUUUAUUCGCAGUAAUUUAUUCUAUAAUUUUAUUUUGGUAUGAUAUGUUAUAUGAUUAUUAUUUAUGAUUAAUUUUGUGCCAGCAUUCGCGGUUAUACAAUUAUAAAUUAUUAAAUUUUAUAUCUUUUAGUUAAUCUUUUUUUUUGAAAAUUAUUAUUAUAUAAUUAAGUGAAAUUUUUAUUUAAUUUAUUAUUCAUUAUUUUGUAAGUGUUUCUAAGAAAUUUUUUUUUAAACUAGGAUUAGAUACCCUAUUAUUUUAAAUGUGAACUUUUAGAUUGAUUAUUAAUAGUUAUGAUCUUUAAAUUUAAAGAAUUUGGCGGUAAUUAAGUCUUUUUAGAGGAACCUGUUUUUUAAUUGAUAAUCCACGAUUGAUUUUACUUUAAUGUUACUUGUAUAUCUCUGUCAUUGAAUGUAUUAUUAGAUUUUAAUUUUCAUUAUUUUUUAGUAGAAUUUAUGUUAGGUCAAGGUGCAGUUUGUAUUAAAGUUUAAAUGGGUUACAUUAUUGUUAUUUUGGGUAUUAAUUUGUAAUAUUUAAUUUAAAUUGGAUUUAAUAGUAAUUUUAAUUAGUAAAAUUAUUUUGAUUAUUGGCUCUUAAUUAUGUACACAUUGCCCGUCACUCUCAUUAAUUUGAGAUAAGUCGUAACAAAGUAGUUUUACCGGAAGGUGAAUCUAGAAAGAAUU